rnacentral:rRNA from 1 species
GAUGAACGCUGGCGGCGUGCCUAAUACAUGCAAGUCGAGCGAACAGAUGAGGAGCUUGCUCCUCUGACGUUAGCGGCGGACGGGUGAGUAACACGUGGAUAACCUACCUAUAAGACUGGGAUAACUUCGGGAAACCGGAGCUAAUACCGGAUAAUAUAUUGAACCGCAUGGUUCAAUAGUGAAAGACGGUUUUGCUGUCACUUAUAGAUGGAUCCGCGCCGCAUUAGCUAGUUGGUAAGGUAACGGCUUACCAAGGCAACGAUGCGUAGCCGACCUGAGAGGGGGAUCGGCCACACUGGAACUGAGACACGGUCCAGACUCCGACGGGAGGCAGCAGUAGGGAAUCUUCCGCAAUGGGCGAAAGCCUGACGGAGCAACGCCGCGUGAGUGAUGAAGGUCUUCGGAUCGUAAAACUCUGUUAUUAGGGAAGAACAAAUGUGUAAGUAACUAUGCACGUCUUGACGGUACCUAAUCAGAAAGCCACGGCUAACUACGUG